GCAGCANGCGCGCAAAUUACCCACUCCCGGCACGGGGAGGUAGUGACGAAAAAUAACGAUACGGGACUCAUCCGAGGCCCCGUAAUCGGAAUGAGUACACUUUAAACCCUUUAACGAGUAUCCAUUGGAGGGCAAGUCUGGUGCCAGCAGCCGCGGUAAUUCCAGCUCCAAUAGCGUAUAUUAAAGUUGUUGCGGUUAAAAAGCUCGUAGUUGGAUUUGUGUCCCACGCUGUCGGUUCACCCGUUCGUCGGUGUUUAACUGGCAUGCCCGUGUGGACGUCCUGCCGGUGGAUGCGGUCGGCCGUGGGCCUCUGGUCUGCGUGUCGGCGGUCCGAUGCAAUCCUACCGCGGUGCUCUUCACCGAGUGUCGAGGUGGGCCGGCACGUUUACUUUGAACAAAUUAGAGUGCUCAAAGCAGGCAGUGGUUCGCCUGAAUAUUGUGUGCAUGGAAUAAUGGAAUAGGACCUCGGUUCUAUUUUGUUGGUUUUCGGAACUUGAGGUAAUGAUUAAUAGGGACAGACGGGGGCAUUCGUAUUGCGACGUUAGAGGUGAAAUUCUUGGAUCGUCGCAAGACGAACCUAAGCGAAAGCAUUUGCCAUGAGUGUUUUCAUUAAUCAAGAACGAAAGUUAGAGGUUCGAAGGCGAUCAGAUACCGCCCUAGUUCUAACCAUAAACGAUGCCAGCUAGCGAUCCGCCGAAGUUCCUCCGAUGACUCGGCGGGCAGCUUCCGGGAAACCAAAGCUUUUGGGUUCCGGGGGAAGUAUGGUUGCAAAGCUGAAACUUAAAGGAAUUGACGGAAGGGCACCACCAGGAGUGGAGCCUGCGGCUUAAUUUGACUCAACACGGGAAACCUCACCAGGCCCGGACACCGGAAGGAUUGACAGAUUGAGAGCUCUUUCUUGAUUCGGUGGGUGGUGGUGCAUGGCCGUUCUUAGUUGGUGGAGCG
rnacentral:rRNA from 1 species